UACGAGGGGGGCGAGCGUUGUUCGGAAUUAUUGGGCGUAAAGGGCGCGUAGGCGGGUCUCCAAGUCAGGGGUGAAAUCCUUCGGCUCAACCGGAGAAGUGCUUUUGAUACUGGAGAUCUCGAGGGGUGUAGGGGCAUGUGGAACUUCCGGUGGAGCGGUGAAAUGCGUAGAUAUCGGAAGGAACGCCGGUGGCGAAAGCGACGUGCUGGACACCUUCUGACGCUGAGGCGCGAAAGCCAGGGGAGCAAACGGG
rnacentral:rRNA from 1 species